CAGCUAGUUGGUAGGGUAACGGCCUACCAAGGCGACGAUCCGUAGCUGGUCUGAGAGGACGACCAGCCACACUGGGACUGAGACACGGCCCAGACUCCUACGGGAGGCAGCAGUGGGGAAUAUUGGACAAUGGGGGCAACCCUGAUCCAGCGACGCCGCGUGUGUGAAGAAGGCCUGCGGGUUGUAAAGCACUUUUAGUGGGGAUGAAAAGCUCAGGGUUAAUACCUCUGGGUCUUGACCUAACCCAAAGAAAAAGCACCGGCUAACUCUGUGCCAGCAGCCGCGGUAAUACAGAGGGUGCAAGCGUUAAUCGGAAUUACUGGGCGUAAAGCGUGCGUAGACGGUUAGAUAAGUCGGGUGUGAAAGCCCCGGGCUCAACCUGGGAAUUGCAUUCGAGACUGUUUAGCUAGGGUGCGGAAGAGGGAAGCGGAAUUUCAGGUGUAGCGGUGAAAUGCGUAGAUAUCUGAAGGACACCAGUGGCGAAAGCGGCUUCCUGGUCCAGCACCGACGUU
rnacentral:rRNA from 1 species